UUGACCUCGGAUCAGGCAGGGAUACCCGCUGAACUUAAGCAUAUCAAUAAGCGGAGGAAAAGAAACCAACAGGGAUUGCCUCAGUAACGGCGAGUGAAGCGGUAACAGCUCAAAUUUGAAAUCUGGCUCUUUUAGGGUCCGAGUUGUAAUUUGUAGAGGAUGCUUCGGCGUCGGCUCCGGUCUAAGUUCCUUGGAACAGGACGUCAUAGAGGGUGAGAAUCCCGUAUGUGAUCGGUUGCCCUUGCCAUGUGAAGCUCCUUCGACGAGUCGAGUUGUUUGGGAAUGCAGCUCUAAAUGGGAGGUAAAUUCUUCUAAAGCUAAAUACUGGCCAGAGACCGAUAGCGCACAAGUAGAGUGAUCGAAAGAUGAAAAGCACUUUG
rnacentral:rRNA from 1 species